rnacentral:rRNA from 1 species
UUAAGCAUAUCAAUAAGCGGAGGAAAAGAAACCAACAGGGAUUGCCCUAGUAACGGCGAGUGAAGCGGCAACAGCUCAAAUUUGAAAUCUGGCGUAAGCCCGAGUUGUAAUUUGUAGAGGAUGCUUCUGGGUAGCGACCGAUCUAAGUUCCUUGGAACAGGACGUCAUAGAGGGUGAGAAUCCCGUAUGUGACCGGCCCGCACCCUUUACGUAGCUCCUUCGACGAGUCGAGUUGUUUGGGAAUGCAGCUCUAAAUGGGAGGUAAAUUUCUUCUAAAGCUAAAUACCGGCCAGAGACCGAUAGCGCACAAGUAGAGUGAUCGAAAGAUGAAAAGUACUUUGGAAAGAGAGUUAAAAAGCACGUGAAAUUGUUGAAAGGGAAGCGCCUGCAACCAGACUUCGUGGCAGUGUUCCGCCGGUCUUCUGACCGGUUUAUUCUCUGUCGCGAGGCCAUCAUCGUCUAGGCCCGCCGGAUAAGACCUUAGGAAUGUAGCUCACCUUCGGGGGAGUGUUAUAGCUUAUGGUGAUGCGGCGAGGCUUGGGCGAGGUCCGCGCUUCGGCAAGGAUGAUGGCGUAAUGGUUGUCGGCGGCCCGUCUUGAAACACGGACCAAGGAGUCUAACAUCUAUGCGAGUGUUCGGGUGUCAAACCCCUACGCGUAAUGAAAGUGAACGGAGGUGGGAACCGCAAGGUGCACCAUCGACCGAUCCUGAUGUCCUCGGAUGGAUUUGAGUAAGAGCAUAGCUGUUGGGACCCGAAAGAUGGUGAACUAUGCCUGGAUAGGGUGAAGCCAGAGGAAACUCUGGUGGAGGCUCGCAGCGGUUCUGACGUGCAAAUCGAUCGUCAAAUUUGGGUAUA